GGCUCCUUGAGGAUGCAGCCACAUCUGUGAGGGAGGGCAUCCUCACCUUUCCUGCUGGGAAAGAGAGCUGCAAGCCCACACAAGCUGGGAAGAGCAGAAAUGCAGACAGCUUUGUGCUGGAAAGCUUCUCCCCAUGACAAAGACAACCUGGUGCCAGUGUAAGGAGAAUUAAAUGGAUUCAGUGAGUGGCUUAAGCAGGGGUUUCUCAGAGCCUGUGGCUCACUGAGGAGGAGGAGUGGGAGGAAGACACAAGAAAACCAUGACAGAGACAUAAUCAAGCUUAGCUGCUCUUCUGAGGCUCAGAGUGAUCCUGAAGAUCUGGGGAAUCCAGGAACCCCUGGUUUUGCAGACUUGUUUGACAGAAAAAGGAAAGCAUUGCUGGACUCAAGCUCUGUUCUGCAGCUGUGAAGUGCCACCCCCUCUCAGUUAUUUGUGUUUAUACAAACACAGCACCUCGCUGGGUUUGUACCACCCUGGUCAUUUCUAGGCAGGUCUUCACCAGAACAGCCCCGCUUUCACAAGUGCCCGAGAACUUCCUAAACAACUCACAGAAACCAGGGAAAAUGUCAUCAAAAUGAGGAAAAUC
rnacentral:lncRNA from 1 species